AAGAAUUGAUCGUAGAGUGGAUGAGUGCAGAAAGCCAUUUCGUAAGAAAUUUCCUGACAUCCUGCCCUCUCAUGUUGGAAGAACCAUCUAGUGAAUGGUUACUUAUCGCUACUUUCUUAAGACCUGCUGAAAGAGAAACCCUGAGGCCCAGCAGUCUGGUUUAACAAGCUCUCCAGAUUCCAAUGUUUUCAUGUUUAUUCACUCAAUCUGAUUUCUACACACAGCAGAUCAAAAAAAGUUGUGAGUUCAGCUUUCUCCACUGUUUGGAGGAUACAGCUUUAGAGAGGUGUGAAGCUGAGACCAUUGGCAUUUGGACAUCAGUGGACACUGUGAGGUGCUGCAUCAUUUUAAGACUGGAGUCCACAGCACUUGUGAGGAGGAGGAUGACAAACAUCAUCUGUCUAGGCUCAGUCUGGAAGAAUUUCUUCAACACUCAGCUGGGGCGCCAUCCACAAUCUCCUGGAAACGCUCCAACCCUGUAAUUAUAUUCUGCCUCUCAAAAUCAGACUUCGUUUUCUAAUUCAAUAAUGCUCCAUUUUAUCAUGCUCAUUUUAGAUACUUUCGUCUCUCAUUUCAAGAGUUUAAAUAACAGACAACUAUCACGACUUUGGGAGGAGGUAGGUGAGACAGAGCAGUGCUCCAGAAUUAGGUCCCACCCCCGAGGCCUCUCUCAGCAAUCAGGCUAAGACACCCCACAGGCUGUCUCUUUCUGCCUCCCCUUUCCCACAACACAAUCACCAGCUUCUCCAAUGCAUCACCUGGCCUGAAUGCAUCGCCUGGAGCAUUGCCUGGAGCAUUGCCUGGCCCGAAGGGCAGCACCACCCCAUGGGACCAUCCUGGAUGAUUAGGAAAGAAGAAACUAUUUCUGCCAGACUUUCUUUGUAGUUUCGUUUCAGAAACCUCAUUUAGUUCUUCAGCUGUUUUAAGCAAUGUUUCUGAAAGAAAAAACUAUCAUUUAGGAGAAUCGUUUGUUGAUGCUCAUAUGUUGCCUUUGAGUGUUACCCCUUCACAGUUGCUAUGGGGAGAUACAAGCAAAACAAAACAAAACAAAACAAUACAAAACAAAACCCAGUAGAUUUAGUUCCUCUUAUUACUCAUUCCAUUAAUAACCCUUGAGUACUUAUUAUAUACAAGGCAAUGUAGAAUAUGAAUCCAUGAAUCACAUCUAGAAUUUGUCUAUAAGAAACAUGGGCUAUAAAAAUAGGCUGUGUUUACUAGGCUGAUAACAAAUCCUUUCUAAAACUUAUCCUACAUGAGGUAAAAUCAAUGCAGAGGUCAAGAAUCUCAAGCGGUAUACAGUCUAGGUGAGGCCAUAAAGAUGAAUCUCAGGACAGACCUGCUUCAACUGAACUAGACAUGUUACUAUUAGAAUAGUUCCACUGGAGAACUGGUUGUUUAAAGACAGUUCAGACACAAAUCUUUUGCUAUACAAAGAAAAGAAGACCCCAGAUUUAGAGUUACGUCUAUUGUUAAGUGCAGAACAGCUGCAUGCUAUGUAAGGGUUGUUCACUUUCAAUCCCCAGGGCACCAUUUACAUAGACUGGGACAUGGCCUGCAACGUGCAGUCUAUGCAAUUGCAUGCAAUAGCUCUAUAUGAAUGUUUCUGGAAAAAAAUAGACUUUAUCUGAAAGGAUGACUUACACCUCCUAAUUUAACUAUUCACAUUUUGGGAUUUGCUUGGAGCCAAACCAGAUUUCUGGCUUUUUGCUGCCAAACCAGAUUUUAGGAAAAUCCUGCAAAUAUGGGUUUGACCAAAGUUUUGUACUCUUAACCU
rnacentral:lncRNA from 10 species